CAGCUGCUGAAUUGGUGAAUUCCCUAGCGUAUUCAUUGACUUGUGGUCUGGAAAAUACAUCAGAUGGGCUAACUUCUCAGUUAAGCCUCCAAAUGCAGGCCUGUGUUUUUAUAUAAACAACAAACUUGUCUAAUCGGCCGUUUUCCUCCUUUCCAGGUAUAGGUUGUGCAAGAAGCUUUCAGAUCAAACAACAGACCUGGAAGGCACUGAACCCGUGUGGUGAAAUCUACUGUGCAUCUUGGCAACAACGGCCCUGUGUGCCUUGGGCUGACAUCAUGUCUUUGUGGUCAUACAAAAGUAAGACCAGUACAAAAUUUAGAUACUCCCGUGGGCAGGCUUCCACUUUGCCAUGUUCUAAUGCCAUUUAAAGUCACCUCUGCC
rnacentral:lncRNA from 1 species